rnacentral:rRNA from 1 species
UUCCGGUUGAUCCUGCCGGAGGCCACUGCUAUCGGAGUUCGAUUAAGCCAUGCGAGUCGAGAGGGGAAAGCCCUCGGCGUACUGCUCAGUAACACGUGGAUAACCUGCCCUGCGGUGGGAAAUAACCCCGGGAAACUGGGGAUAAUGUCCCAUAGGCUACGGAUGCUGGAAUGCUCUGUAGCUCAAAGAUUUAUCGCCACAGGAUGGGUCUGCGGCCGAUUAGGUAGUUGUUGGGGUAACGGCCCAACAAGCCUUUGAUCGGUACGGGUUGUGGGAGCAAGAGCCCGGAGAUGGAUUCUGAGACACGAAUCCAGGCCCUACGGGGCGCAGCAGGCGCGAAAACUUUACAAUGCGGGAAACCGUGAUAAGGGAACUCCGAGUGUCCGUCAAUGCGGACUGUCCGUAUGUUUAAAAAGCAUGCGAAGAAAGGGCCGGGCAAGACCGGUGCCAGCCGCCGCGGUAAUACCGGCGGCUCGAGUGGUGGCCACUAUUACUGGGCUUAAAGCGUUCGUAGCUGGGUUGUUAAGUCUCUUGGGAAAUCUACCGGCUUAACCGAUAGGCGUCCAAGGGAUACUGGCAAUCUAGGGACCGGGAGAGGUGAGGGGUACUUCAGGGGUAGGAGUGAAAUCCUGUAAUCCUUGGGGGACCACCUGUGGCGUAGGCGCCUCACCAGAACGGCUCCGACAGUGAGGGACGAAAGCUGGGGGAGCAAACCGGAUUAGAUACCCGGGUAGUCCCAGCCGUAAACGAUGCGCGUUAGGUGUAUCGAUGACCACGAGUCAUCGAGGUGCCGAAGGGAAACCGUGAAACGCGCCGCCUGGGAAGUACGGUCGCAAGGCUGAAACUUAAAGGAAUUGGCGGGGGAGCACCACAACAGGUGGAGCCUGCGGGUUUAAUUGGAUUCAACGCCGGGA